UUGCUAGGCGGUUGCUAAGGUGUUGCUAUGGUAUCCGGGGUGGUUGCUAAGGUGUUGCUAAGUGGUUGCUAGGUGGUUGCUAAGGUGUUGCUAGGCGGUUGCUAAGGUGUUGCUAUGGUAUCUGGGGUGGUUGCUAAGGUGUUGCUAGGUGGUUGCUAAGGUGUUGCUAGGCGGUUGCUAAGGUGUUGCUAUGGUAUCCAGGGUGGUUGCUAAGGUGUUGCUAGGUGGUUGCUAGGUGGUUGCUAAGGUGUUGCUAGGCGGUUGCUAAGGUGUUGCUAUGGUAUCCGGGGUGGUUGCUAAGGUGUUGCUAGGUGGUUGCUAGGUGGUUGCUAAGGUGUUGCUAUGGUAUCCGGGGUGGUUGCUAAGGUGUUGCUAGGUGGUUCCUAGGUGGUUGCUAAGGUGUUGCUAGGCGGUUGCUAAGGUGUUGCUAUGGUAUCCGGAGUGGUUGCUAAGGUGUUGCUAGGUGGUUGCUAGGUGGUUGCUAGGGUGUUGCUAGGCGGUUGCUAAGGUGUUGCUAUGGUAUCCGGGGUGGUUGCUAAGGUGUUGCUAGGUGGUUGCUAGGUGGUUGCUAAGUUGUUGCUAGGCGGUUGCUAAGGUGUUGCUAUGGUAUCCGGGGUGGUUGCUAAGGUGUUGCUAGGUGGUUGCUAGGCGGUUGCUAAGGUGUUGCUAUGGUAUCCUGGGUGGUUGCUAAGGUGUUGCUAGGUGGUUGCUAGGUGGUUGCUAGGGUGUUGCUAGGCGGUUGCUAAGGUGUUGCUAUGGUAUCUGUGGUGGUUGCUAUGGUGUUUCUAGGUGAUUUAUAUGCAUAAAUUAGAUUAAAUGGUGUUUGCACGUUGCUACGCAACGUGCAAAUACAUCAAUCAGCUAUGCACGCUAGGUUGCUCUGGCCGUUCGGGGGUGUCCAAACUUUUGACCCAUGGCUCCAUUACACACAGUACUGGGGGGCCGGGGUGUCCAAACUUUUGACCCAUGGCUCCAUUACACACA